rnacentral:rRNA from 1 species
AGUGAACGCUGGCGGUAGGCCUAACACAUGCAAGUCGAACGGCAGCACAGUAAGAGCUUGCUCUUACGGGUGGCGAGUGGCGGACGGGUGAGGAAUACAUCGGAAUCUACUUUUUCGUGGGGGAUAACGUAGGGAAACUUACUCUAAUACCGCAUACGACCUACGGGUGAAAGCAGGGGAUCUUCUGACCUUGCGCGAUUGAAUGAGCCGAUGUCGGAUUAGCUAGUUGGCGGGUUAAAGGCCUACCAAGGCGACGAUCCGUAGCUGGUCUGAGAGGAUGGUCAGCCACACUGGAACUGAGACACGGUCCAGACUCCUACGGGAGGCAGCAGUGGGGAAUAUUGGACAAUGGGCGCAAGCCUGAUCCAGCCAUACCGCGUGGGUGAAGAAGGCGUUCGGGUUGUAAAGACCUUUUGUUGGGAAAGAAAAGCAGCAGGUUAAUACCCCGCUGUUCUGACGGUAACCAAAGAAUAAGCACCGGCUAACUUCGUG